rnacentral:rRNA from 1 species
CCUACGGGUGGCAGCAGUGGGGAAUAUUGCGCAAUGGACGAAAGCCUGACCCAGCGACGCCGCGUGAAGGAUGAAGGUCUUCUGAUUGUAAACCUCUUUCUACAGGGAAGAACGAUGACUCUGCUGCUCAGCAUUGAAUUUACGAUACCUGCGAGGGCAGCGCCGGCUAACUCCGUGCCAGCAGCCGCGGUAAUACGGAGGGUGCGAGCGUUAAUCGGAAUUACUGGGCGUAAAGGUCGCGUAGGCGGUAUGUCAAGUCAAGGGUGAAAUCCCCGCGCUCAACGGUGGAACUGACUUUGAAACUGGCAAACUGGAGUGUGUGAGAGGAGAGUGGAAUUCCAGGUGUAGGAGUGAAAUCCGUAGAUAUCUGGAGGAACAUCAGUGGCGAAGGCGAUUAGCUGGAAUACAACUGACGCUGAGGAGCGAAAGCGUGGGUAGCAAACAGGAUUAGAUACCCUAGUAGUC